UGCAUUGCGCCUUUCCUGUAAUAAAAGCGGGUUUUUACAAGUGAGAUUGGGUUUUUCUCAAACUCCGAUUUCCCCUUAUUCCCUCCGCCCGGUUGCUGGAGUGUGAAGUGUGUGUUGGGGGGGAAGUGGGGGGCCUUGCAUUGAUGGAAGAGGUGGGAUCACUUUCUGAAUAUAAAGGUGUCAACUGAAGGCCCGUCCCUGGGGAUAAAACUUGGCUGGAACACAAGAUCACUUCCUAUCAUUCUUGGAGGGGGUGAGGAAAUCAAGAAGAAAUUAGAAGAAAAGGGGAGAAAGGUGUGCAAUGGACUGAUCUGUUUUGGAAUUUAUACGCACAUUGCGGGUUGCAGUGACUAUAUCACAAUAUCUUUGGUCGUUCUUUUACUUCACUUGUAUUCAGUGAACACAUUCCCUCUGGUUAUCCAUCAAUCAAUAAGCUAAAAAACACAAGGUUAUACGUAUCUGAGACAAUUUCCAGCGGGUGCCAAUGAUAAGGGGCUCUCAAACUGUUGUUCCUGGAGGACUUGCUGGUGGACUGCAGAGAGUUUGCUGAUCUCAUGGUGCUAACGUUCUAGGAUUUCACCUGCUAAAUUGCUUUAAAAGAAGCUACAGAUAUAUAUUAAAGACUUUCCCACUGUUACUUUUCCAUGUGCACAGUUUGUUGUAGCUAUCACUGGGAUAUUUUGUGAUUACAAACACAAGGAAAGGAGCUCUAGGGGAUUGGGAAUGGGAGGGAAGAUGGUGCA